AGCAGCUACUGUUGGAGCUGGUUAAUGGGAGGAAAUUAAUAAUUUGAAUUAUAUUUUCUCCCAGAACACUGUGGUUCAAUAAAGAAAAGAAAACAACAAAAAAACCCUUUUUUUAUUAAAUUUUCUAUUGAACUGAUUGGAAAGAGGUUAGCUAAGAGGUAUAACGUAGUUCAGUUGUAACUGAUCAGGUUUCAGGUUUUGUCAGGCUAUGUUUCCUUGUGAUCUUUCACCAGUUCAGAUUAUGUUUCCUGAUAAAUAUGUUGUGCAAUUUCUUGUUUGCUGUGUUUUAGCUAUUAGCCCUCUUCUCUCUCACCUAUGGGAAGCGGCUGUGCUUUUUAGUGGGGAAUUUUUAGAUGUAGAGGCAAGCAAUUUUUUCCACUGUAGGGCUGAACUGGGACCGAUCUCACUGCCACCAACAGGGCUUACUUUUGUGCCAUGGCCUUUGCAGUCUUAUGGAUUCAUUUCACACUGUUUGCUACUCCUCAGUUGCAGCAAGGAGCCUCCUGCCACCAUCCCCACCAGCAGGUAGCACAGAAGUGCCCUGCCCUGCUUUCUCCCAGUGAGAAGGGAGAUAGGGAGAUGUGAGAAGACAACUCCCUUUCUGUUCACACAUUUAUUCACAGCUACUGUUACCACAGACAUCUUCAUUUCUCAUCUUAUGAGAUUUGAAAGCUGCAAAACAAAAUUGGAAGACCUUUCUGAGGAAAACUCGUGUGAGCAACAGGACCUGAGCAGGCUUGAGGUGCCAGAAGACCAACUUUGAAAAUAAUUUCAAGCUGGAAAUGCCGUCUAGAAGGAACUGGGAGACUCACUCAAAUAAAUGACACUAUCAGAAGUAAUGACAAGACUUUUAGUUCUGGUUAAAAAUGGGUUUCGGGAAGUCAGCUGUCCAGUGAGAGCCAGCAGUGCUCUUGACCCUGCCACCUCUGGUAUAACCCUGGCUGCUCCUCCACUGCUUUUGUUAUUCCUAAUUUCUCAAAGGAGCAAUAGGCAACUUGUAAGACGAUCUGACAGCUCAAAGAUCCUUGGAAAAAGAGAAGGCAAAGGACCAUGUUCCCCAGGACUGCAGAGCACGGCCAAGGAAUUCCAGCAGCUCCCACAGGCCUUAACUGUGGAAAAACUCUCCAUGGAACUAGAGAGUGCACAAGCACAGAGGAAGAUACUGAAGAGUAUGCAAUCAAAUAAAGCAAUAUUACGGUGCCUUUUAUUAGCUACAGGAGAGAUGGCUAAGGAAUCAACUACAUUAAGAUCAUGCUUAUUCCAAAUCUACGAGGUUGCAUUUGCAGUCUCUUCUUGACACUCUAUCUUGUAAAGAGCACUUGCAUUAAAUAAACCAUAUUAUGAAGUAUGAGACAAUACCAAGUAUGUUAAUUCAACUGAAAAAAACCAAUAUGAGAACUAAACAAAAGACUGUGUUUGACUCUGCCUGUUGAUAAAACCAGCUAUUUCCUUAAUCCUUUUAGGGUGUGAAAGUUUUUUUUUUUCUUUUUUUUCUUUUUUUUUUUCUUUCCAUCACAGGCUUUUCUCAUGUAAAUAGUCUUGUAGAAAAAAUAAAUUGAAGCUGAAAUCAGGUAGACAUAUUCUCAACUCUGAUGAUGCAGAAAUUACCGUGAAUGUUUUCAAAGGUCUGCUAAACCAUGCAAAGGCUGUUUUGAUAUUUUGAUUAUAUGUUCAUCUGAUCUGGUAAUAAUAUAAUGAAAACAGUGUUUAAUGAUGCAUUUGUAACUUGAACACUUCAUAAUCAAAACAGGUCAGUGGGGUAUAGGACUAGAUGCUCAGCCAUUUGUGAGAGAUGCCACAACCUAUACUGUAAUUUACAAUACAUCUGCCUUUGUACAGAGUGUGAGAAAAUCAGGGAGGCAGAUUUUUGGCACAUUUUGCCUAGUAAGCAUGGCACUGUAUAUGUAAAAAUAAUUGGGUGUGGAGGAAAAAGUAUUAUUUACUUUAUUCCAGAGAACUAAAUAAAAGAUAUUGUUCUGAGUGGGCAAAAUGAAAGAUGUGUCAUAUACGCAUACAGAUGGUGCUGGAUAUGUUACUGUCAGUCUGCUCACUGAUGCCCUCCCAGAUGUCAGUGGGGAUCUCUGCUGUUUUCUUAACCUGUGAGGCUGGGAAGUAUCAGCUGCUCUUACAUUCAUUUUCAGCCCCAGCCUUUGUUCACAGUGACUUCCUCAGGAGCCUGCAGAUAGUGGACAGGGGAAGCAGCAGGGAAACAUAGCAGGCAUUUUCCCAGUUUGGUCUUUGUCUUGUCCUCUUCUCCUAAACUUAAUGCCAUUUGGAAGGAGGCAGCUUGCAGACCCUCCAGCAAGUCCCUCAGCCAACAAGAAGCAGAUAAAGCCGGUGGAAGGACAAGCAGCCUAUUCUAUGAAAAGAAGAGGGCAGAGCAGAGCUGACAAUUCAGCAGGAUGCUGAUAGCCGUGCUGGGGAACAGAAGUACUGUGAGAUAUUUACUUUUCCCUAGGAAAUGGCCGUAAUAUCUGGUGACUCUGAGAGCAGCUGCCUCUGUGCAACACUGACAACCCAGAGUAGCCAGGGCACACCAUCUCUGCGCACGUCUGCUGGAGCCCCUUAGCUUCCUCUAACCUUCUGUAAUGUUUGCAACUGCUGCCACCACUGCUUAUUUUGAUCAAAUACAAGGUAUACAGGCGAGAAAAGGUGAGGGACAGCAGGCAGGUGAAGAGGUUAUGAUACAAUAUAUGCAGAAACAGGCCACAGUUUUCACUGUUGAAGCAGAAAAACAUGGAGCACAAACCUUUUUUAUGGUCCUUUAGCUGAAGGAAGAACACGUCAGUGUUGACUUGUGACUGUGUUGUGAGGUUGAAGGAGAAACUAGCUCACAAAAUGCCCUUCUGGACUUAACAUGUCCUACUGCUACCAUUUUUUCAAUGUCUCAUUUCUAAAUGUACCAUCUUCAUUUCCACCAGACGCAUGUUGGUCAAUAAUACAUAGAAUUGUCUGCCUUUGGAUGCUAAGGCUAUGUCUACAGAAGAUUAGGAUGACUUUGGAUUUCUGUAUAACAGCUGUCUUAUAUCUUGCUUUUGCAAUGCUCCUUAAUGAAAUUUCUGGAGUGACAUGACUCAGCAAAUACUGAUUUUUUUUUUUAAUUAUUAUUUUUAAAUUAUGUUCACAAAUAAAUACAGCAAUAUCAAGUUUCACUAGGGAGUGAACUUUCCACUAAAUUGGUAACACAGCAGUUUUGAUACUAGAUUCACUUUCGAGUUAAAACUUUAUAGAAGAAUAUGAGAAAAAACAAGGUGAUGCUGUGAGACAGACUGAGCCAGGUUUCCAAAAUAAUCCUACUUGUUAUAUAUUCCCCCAUAAUUCUAUCCUUAAGGUCAAGGUUUGCUUUUUUUAACAGAAUUUAUUUGCAGUCAGGAGGUUUCUGUAUAAUGUCAAAGUGCCUACUUGAUUAAUGACUGCAGAAGAGUUGGCUUAAAGCGUCACUAGGUAACAAUGAAUUUCAUUUGUUUGCAGGUAAAUGUCACAUUUAGUCUUAAUUAAACAGUAAAUGAGUAACUGCUAAUUCCCCUACUUUCCAAUUCUUUUUCAGUUCUCUGCAAGCCUGAUGUUUAGCUGAUGUGGAUAUUCUAGAUCUUCAAAAUGUUUUAUGAUAAACUAAUUGAAUCACAAAAUUAUAGGAAACUUUAUGAGUAUACUCCUAAGUAAUCCUUGAAUCUGUGCAAGCACUGCUCAGCAACAGCUGAAACACUGGUGUGUUAUCAACAUUAUUCUCAUCAUAAAUUCAAAACAUAGCAGCAUAGCAGCUAGGAAGAAGAAAAUUAACUCUAUUCCAGUCAAAACAAGGACAGUUAGGCAUCCCAAUGUAAGAUUAAUAUGGAAAAUAAAGCCCAAGUUUAAACCUGAACACAAGUGCUUCAGCUUUUAGCAAGCAAGUCCUUGGUAUACAGUCUAAGGUCCCCAAUGCAACACCUGCCUUUUGUAGCAAAAAUGAGUCACCUCAGGAUAGCAAUAGAAGAACCUGUGCACUGAGUAUGGAACUGCCUACACCUGGCCUGCAGGAAAGGCUAAGAAUUGGAGUCUGCUGGAUCAUCCUGCCGUGCUGGUGUUCAGCAGCAGGCUCUGGGACUGAAACUGGAUGUAGAGUCCAUGAUCUUCCUUCCUGUGGGAUGUUUUAGGAAAUGUCAACAGCUAUUCUACGUAAACACUAAAACAGACAGUACUCAUCUUUUCUAAAACAGGAGCCUAUGUGUAUCCAUCCUGCUGGUGUACCCAGAAGACUCAACCCUGCUUUACAGUGCAUGAGAAGGAUGUCCCAACAGCAGUCUGUGAAGCUGUCUUGGCCAUGGCAUUUGUCCUUUUCCUUUUAAAUAGAGGACUAUAAUUAGAAUCUGGUGCUGAUUUCAAGUACCACAUAUGCAUUGCAGCUGCUGUCCUAUGCAUGUAAAUUCAUCAUCUAGGGCAACCCUAUUUCAUAUAAGUGCCUCAGGCUUGAAUUACCUUUUUGACUUCUUUAUUCUGUGACAUAUUAUCUUUAGCUCUUAAUGAUUGAGCGUAUUGCCUCUGGGGACAAUAUUCUCAGAUACUGUCCUUGCAUUUUGGCUCCAUGCAAGAUAACUCACACUGCUCUGGAGUCCAACUGUGGAAUAGGAGGCAAUUGUUUAAUAUUGUUUGUGAAAUCAAAAUAUCUGUUUAUUUUUCGCUGAUGAUGCCAAAUUUGAGACAAAUUCACUAAUAAUUAUCCUCUGCCUAAAUCAGCACAUUUUCAUCUGUAAAAAGUUUUUUGGACCAAUGUCUACUGUUUCUGUUGUUUUUUAUUUGACAACCCCCUGGAAAAUAAUAUGAUGGGCUCUGAAGUAUGAUACCUACAGCCUAGAGUAAAUAAAACCCACCAGAGGAACAGCAUCAACUGGCACACAUCUUCUACAGAGAUGAGAUUCACCAACAUCGAGGGGCAGUCUGGAGGACUUUGCAUAGAAGCUACCUCUCUUGCCACCCUUCUAGAAUGCAGUAACAGAGAGAAGGAAGUUCCCUCUUUCAUUUAUAUCUGCACCUUCUCUCAUUCUCUCAUUACACAUUUGUCACUCUGCAGCAUACAUACCUAGAUUCUUCCAAAGAAACCUCCAGAUUUAUUAUUUCUUCAUCAAUAAUUGAACAAUCUCUUCCAUUUUAUUCUUAAGUUCCCUCGAAUCCUUUAACUAAAUUGUUA
ensembl:lncRNA